AUGCAAAUUAUGAACAUAUCAUGUAGCUCCUGAAUCUCUCCCAUGCUUCACCAAAACUCUCAUUGCUAUGUUGAGUGAAUCUGGAGAUUUGGUUUCUUAGCUU
rfam:Eutrema salsugineum unplaced genomic scaffold scaffold_23, whole genome shotgun sequence.